rnacentral:rRNA from 1 species
GAUGAACGCUAGCGGCAGGCCUAAUACAUGCAAGUCGAGGGGUAGAAGAGGCUUGCUUCUUUGAGACCGGCGCACGGGUGCGUAACGCGUAUGCAACCUACCUUCAUCUGGGGGAUAGCCCGGAGAAAUCCGGAUUAAUACCGCAUAAAAUCACAGGAUGGCAUUAUCCAAUGAUCAAACAUUUAUGGGAUGGAGAUGGGCAUGCGUGUCAUUAGCUAGUUGGCGGGGUAACGGCCCACCAAGGCGACGAUAACUAGGAGAUCUGAGAGGAUGGCCCCCCAAACUGGUCCUGAGACACGGACCAGACUCCUACGGGAGGCAGCAGUAAGGAAUAUUGGUCAAUGGAGGCAACUCUGAACCAGCCAUGCCGCGUGCAGGAAGACUGCCCUAUGGGUUGUAAACUGCUUUUAUUCGGGAAUAAACCUUAUUACGUGUAAUAAGCUGAAUGUACCGAAGGAAUAAGGAUCGGCUAACUCCGUGCCAGCCGCCGCAGUAA